CUGUAAAAAACUAAGAGUGUCUGAUGGAUGCCUUGGUGCCAAGAGGCGAAGAAGGACGUGUUAGGCUGCGAUAAGCCGCGGGUAGUUGCCAGAAAACGUUUAUCCGUGGAUCUCCGAAUGGGGAAACCCGACUAGCUAUGCUAGUCAUUGCAUGCUGAAUACAUAGGUAUGCAAAGCGAACCCAGCGAACUGAAAUAUCUAAGUAGCUGGAGGAAAAGAAAUCAACCGAGAUUCCGCUAGUAGUGACGAGCGAACGCGGACCAGGCCAGUGGUCUGAGUCAAGAAAACUAGAAUGCUCUGGAAAGGGCAGCGAAACAGGGUGAUAGCCCCGUACAGGUAAUGCUUGCUCAGAUCCUCGAGUAGGGCGGGACACGAGAAAUCCUGUCUGAAUAUGGGGGGACCACCCUCCAAGCCUAAAUACUACUUGGCGACCGAUAGUGAACUAGUACCGUGAGGGAAAGGUGAAAAGAACCCCUGUUAGGGGAGUGAAAUAGACCCUGAAAUCGGACACUUACAAACAGUCGGAGCCUGAUUUAUGCGACCGCCUUCGGGUGAUCGCAUAUCUGCGGGUGACGGCGUACCUUUUGUAUAAUGGGUCAGCGACUUAAUUUAUUGAGCGAGCUUAAGCCGUAUCAGGUGUAGGCGCAGCGAAAGCGAGUCUUAAUAGGGCGAUUAGUUCAAUGGAUUAGACCCGAAACCAGGUGAUCUAGCCAUGGCCAGACUGAAGGUGCGGUAAAACGUACUGGAGGGUCGAACCCACUGAUGUUGCAAUAUCAGGGGAUGAGCUGUGGUUAGGGGUGAAAGGCCAAUCAAACCUGGAAAUAGCUGGUUCUCCGCGAAAUCUAUUUAGGUAGAGCGUCGCAUAAAAUAUGUCACCGGGGGUAGAGCACUUGAUGGGUUAGGGGGAGUAAAAUCUUACUGAGCUCAGCUAAACUCCGAAUACCGGUGAUAGUUCUGCGGCAGACACACUACGGGUGCUAAGAUCCGUGGUGAAGAGGAAAACAGUCCAGACCGCCAUUUAAGGUCCCCAAAUUGUAACUAAGUGUGGAAGGAUGUGGGAAGGCCAAGACAGCUAGGAGGUGGGCUUAGAAGCAGCCAUCCUUUAAAGAAAGCGUAACAGCUCACUAGUCUAAACAAGCUUUCCUGCGCCGAAGAUGUAACGGGGCUAAAGUUACAUACCGAAGAUGCGGAUUGCUGCGAAGAAUAUUCGCAGCAGUGGUAGCGGAGCGUUCCAUAAGCCGUCGAAGGUUGACCGUGAGGUCAGCUGGAGGUAUUGGAAGUGCAAAUGCUGACAUGAGUAGCGUAAGAAGUGUGAAAAACACUUCCACCGAAAACUUAAGGUUUCCUGCUUCAAGUUAAUCUGAGCAGGGUUAGUCGGUCCCUAAGACGAGUCCGAAAGGGGUAGUCGAUGGAAACAAGGUUAAUAUUCCUUGACCUGUGAGUAGUGACGGGUUGUUAUGGUUGUACUCUCUUAUUGGAUUGAGAGUGCUGCUUAUAUGGCUCCAAGAAAUAGCUCUCACAUAUAGGCCGUACCGCAAACCGACACAGGUGAGUGGGUAGAGUAUACUUAGGUGAUUGAGAUAAUGAUGUUGAAGGAACUCGGCAAAUUGCAUCCGUAACUUCGGGAGAAGGAUGACCUCGUUUUGGGCAACCAUUAUGAGGUGGCACAAGCCAGGGGGUAGCGACUGUUUACUAAAAACACAGGACUCUGCAAACACGCAAGUGGAAGUAUAGGGUCUGACGCCUGCCCGGUGCCGGAAGGUUAAUAGGAGAGGUGCAUAGCUUCGAAUUGAAGCCCCGGUGAACGGCGGCCGUAACACUGACGGUCCUAAGGUAGCGAAAUUCCUUGUCGGGUAAGUUCCGACCUGCACGAAUGGCGUAACGACUUCCCCGCUGUCUCCAACAUCAACUCAGCGAAAUUGAACUCCCCGUGAAGAUGCGGGGUACCUGCGGUCAGACGAAGAGACCCCGUGCACCUUUACUACAGCUUUACAUUGGUAUUAAUAAUGGGAUGUGCAGGAUAGUUGGGAGAUUAUGAGAUCGGGGCGCUAGCCCUGGUGGAGUCGUCCUUGAGAUACCAACCUUCCUCUUGUUGAUAUCUAACUUUGUGCUAUUACCUAGCAUGAGGACAGUGUAUGGUGGGUAGUUUGACUGGGGCGGUCGCCUCCUAAAGAGUAACGGAGGCGUGCAAAGGUAGGCUCAGGCUGGUUGGAAAUCAGCCGUCGAGUAUAAUAGCAUAAGCCUGCCUGACUGCAAGGCCGACAAGCCGAGCAGAGACGAAAGUCGGUUAUAGUGAUCCGGUGAUUCCGCGUGGAAGGGUCAUCGCUCAACGGAUAAAAGGUACGCCGGGGAUAACAGGGUAAUAGCGUCCAAGAGUCCAUAUCGACGACGCUGUUUGCCACCUCGAUGUCGACUCAUCACAUCCUGGGGCUGUAGAAGGUCCCAAGGGUUCGGCUGUUCGCCGAUUAAAGUGGUACGUGAGUUGGGUUUAGAACGUCGUGAGACAGUUCGGUUUCUAUCUGCCGUGGGUGUUGGAAAUUUGAGAGGAGCUAACUCUAGUACGAGAGGACCGAGUUGGACAUACCAAUUGUGUACCAGUUGUCCCGCCAGGGGCACCGCUGGGUAGCUACGUAUGGAAGGAAUAACUGCUGAAAGCAUCUAAGCGGGAAGUCCACCUCAAAACUAAAUUUCCCUAUUAGGGCCGUGGGAGACCACCACGUUGAUAGGCUGGGUGUGUAAGCGCGGUGACGCGUUGAGCUUACCAGUACUAAUAGCCUGAUUGAUUUAUAGUG
rfam:Neorickettsia helminthoeca str. Oregon, complete genome.